GCCAGUGUGGCCUAGUGAUUUGAGUGCUGGACUAUAAAUCAGGAGACCAGGGUUUAAAUCCCACUGGGU